rnacentral:rRNA from 1 species
UGGAUCCAGACUUUGAUCCUGGCUCAGGAUGAACGCUAGCUACAGGCUUAACACAUGCAAGUCGAGGGGAAACGAUAUUGGAAGCUUGCUUCCGAUAGGCGUCGACCGGCGCACGGGUGAGUAACGCGUAUCCAACCUGCCCACCACUUGGGGAUAACCUUGCGAAAGUAAGACUAAUACCCAAUGACGUCUCUAGAAGACAUCUGAAAGAGAUUAAAGAUUUAUCGGUGAUGGAUGGGGAUGCGUCUGAUUAGCUUGUUGGCGGGGUAACGGCCCACCAAGGCGACGAUCAGUAGGGGUUCUGAGAGGAAGGUCCCCCACAUUGGAACUGAGACACGGUCCAAACUCCUACGGGAGGCAGCAGUGAGGAAUAUUGGUCAAUGGACGAGAGUCUGAACCAGCCAAGUAGCGUGCAGGAAGACGGCCCUAUGGGUUGUAAACUGCUUUUAUAAGGGAAUAAAGUUAGUCUCGUGAGACUUUUUGCAUGUACCUUAUGAAUAAGGACCGGCUAAUUCCGUGCCAGCAGCCGCGGUAAUACGGAAGGCCCGGGCGUUAUCCGGAUUUAUUGGGUUUAAAGGGAGCGUAGGCCGGAGAUUAAGCGUGUUGUGAAAUGUAGAUGCUCAACAUCUGAACUGCAGCGCGAACUGGUUUCCUUGAGUACGCACAAAGUGGGCGGAAUUCGUGGUGUAGCGGUGAAAUGCUUAGAUAUCACGAAGAACUCCGAUUGCGAAGGCAGCUCACUGGAGCGCAACUGACGCUGAAGCUCGAAAGUGCGGGUAUCGAACAGGAUUAGAUACCCUGGUAGUCCGCACGGUAAACGAUGGAUGCCCGCUGUUGGUCUGAAUAGGUCAGCGGCCAAGCGAAAGCAUUAAGCAUCCCACCUGGGGAGUACGCCGGCAACGGUGCAACUCAAAUGAAUUGACGGA